rnacentral:tRNA from 1 species
GUAAAUAUAGUUUAAACAAAACUUUAGAUUGUGAAUCUGAUAAUAGAGCUUAACACCUCUUAUUUACC